GCAGUAGCCGCGGGAAAACGUAGGUGGCAAGCGUUGUCCGGAAUUAUCGGGCGUAAAGGGCUCGCAGGCGGUUUCUUAAGUCUGAUGUGAAAGCCCCCGGCUCAACCGGGGAGGGUCAUUGGAAACUGGGAAACUUGAGUGCAGAAGAGGAGAGUGGAAUUCCACGUGUAGCGGUGAAAUGCGUAGAGAUGUGGAGGAACACCAGUGGCGAAGGCGACUCUCUGGUCUGUAACUGACACUGAGGAGCGAAAGCGUGGGGAGCGAACAGGAUUAGAUACCCCAGUAGUCCCUGUCUCUUAUAC
rnacentral:rRNA from 1 species